rnacentral:misc_RNA from 1 species
GUACGUGUCUACCUCUGAGGAGCAUCCGGCUUGUGGGCGCUGUCGAAUACCUCCUCCAGCCCCUCUCCUGCGCUGCACCCACUCUACAGACCCACACACAUACACACACACACACAAGGAUACAUCUCCUUCGACAUCAUGUACGCCGUGACACGGUACUUGUGCCACAUCGCCGGCGUAGGCGGCAGCGGUGGCAUGGGGGGUAUCAGCAGCACCGGCACCAGCAGCAGUGGUGGUGAUCUACGCGGUCCCGCAAUCAGCUAUCGCAACUCCCUCCAACUCGCCGACGCCUUUCAGCCGGUGCAGCACCGCAAUCAGUGGCCCUUCGAUCACGUGCUCAUCGACGUCUCCUUCUUCGCCAACUCCCUCGGCUACCUCACACGCGACCUGGUCGGCCACGAACGCGACUGCGAAACGGUGAAGAAUGUCCAUCGACAGCUGCAGACCGUCAUCCUGCGCCGCCUCCAGCCGCGCAAGAGCCUCGCAUUCCUGCUAGACGGCAGCGAGCCGCUCUGGAUGCUCGAGCAUCGACGCCUCUUCCCUGGCCGACGGUACGACUCCAGGGUAUAUCGCAGCUGUGCCUCGCCGAUGCCCUACCUGCUGGAAGAGAAACUCCGCGGCACGGCCAUGGAGCAGCGCACCCCGCCCUCGGAGGCCGUCAUCAGCGGUCCAGCCACCCCCGGACUGGCAGAGGGCAAGAUGAGCGCUUAUCUGCUGGACCUUGCAACUCGCAUUCUCCGGCCUCCGACGUUCCCACCGCUCCUCGACGCCACGGUCACGGCGAAGGACACAGUCUGCCUGGUCGGCGGGCCCGAGCUCGCUUGGUUGGCUGUUGGUAUGACGCCGUUUCGCAACAUCACAAGCGUAACGCUGCAGCAGGGAGAACUGAAGAGCUGCUCGCUGCAGGAAUCGAUGGUAUGGAUGCGGCUGGAUCACCUGCUGAAGGCGGCGCCAGAGCAGGUGAACGGCGACGGUGGCGCGGCGUUGGCGCUGCAGCGGCGCCUGGCCGCUGUCCGUACGGAUCUAGUUCUACUCUACCUUCUGGCCAAUGGUCAUCCCACUACAGGGCUGCCGCAGGUGCUGGCUACGCCGUUCGCGGACGUGCUGGACGCGUACGUGGACAUGGAGAAGGAACAGCACAGCGCCGCAGCGCCGAGCCCGCCGCAGAACGUCCGGCGCCUUCGCAGCGUAUUAUUCGACGAAGAGCCCGUUACAGGCACUCACCUUGAGCAGCCAGGGCUGCGACUGCGCUUAGUGUCCCUGCAGCAGCUGCUCGUGCGCAUCGUGCGGGCGUUGUCCGGAGCCCACGUUGGUCUGCCGGCCGGCAACCGCCCCACCCCCCACGCGGCCACGCUGCUGGAGAUGACGCUGCAGACACACGGGCUGCUCUGCGGUGGCGGCGUUCCGUCUCAAGCGUGGAGCCCCACGCCCGAUCCGGCAGAUGGCUCGAGUGGCGGCAGCAGCACCGCCGCCUUGAACGGCACCGUGCUCCUGGACAAGUUCCCGAGGCUGUCUGCGGAGAUGCUCCUACAGCACGUGACUUACCUCCUCAGCCGCGAAGCGAAGCAGCGAACGGCGAACUCGGCUGACGGUGCCGGCGAGGGCAGCGACAGCAUCUACCUGAGCCCACAGCGCACACGGCACUUUGGGCUGACCGGCGUCGAGACGCUCCUCCUCAGCGCCACGCGGGCGGAGCAGGUGAACCAAGUAUUGCCCUUGUACGUUCGCGGCCACACCCUUCCUGACGAGGUGGCGUCGGACAUCACGCAGACGCGCAACAUCCACGAGGCCGUACGCAAGACGCAGCGGGUGCUCAGUCGCGUGCUGCAGCAGGCCAGUCAGGAACUGGCCAGUCGAUCUGGUAGUGGCACCGCCGCGGUCGAUGAUGCUGGCCACAACGGUCCGCACCCUGCUCUCGCUCACCUUCCGUCGCACUUGUUCGUGCGCACCGCCGGUGCUCGCGGGCCGCCGCCGGGGUGGAAGUACUACGGCGUGCACCUUGGCAUCAAGGCAGAGGCCAUGAACGUGCGGUACAGCCUCAACGCAUCUGACACGGCGACGCUGCACCUCAUCGAUAGCAACGGUGGCAGCAACAGCGGUGACGUCAUCGCGGCUGCAGGGGGCGAGGUUGGUGCGGAGUCCACCCGCAGCGGCAUGGCCGACUGAUGGACGUCGAUGCCGUGCUCCGCCUUCCCCACCUCCGCAGAGAAAACGGAAGCAGCGCCAGCGGCAGGAUCGCUGCGCAUCUUGGCGCGGAACACGCAGCUCAGUCACCACAGCGGAGCGCCGACGCGACUGGGACGGGAAGGCAUCGACUGGUGCUCUCCAACGCGGUAUGCAGCAGCAGCACCAGCAGCACACCGCGAAGUGGGGGCCCCUACGCACAAGGCUUUCGCGUGUGCUGCCUGGUGACUUUAGCGGAGUGCCCAGCCAAGCUCUACAAUCUCCCCAGCGGGUUCGAGUGCAAGGACGCGUGGGCGGUGAUGAAGCCGAACCUCCAGCUACCGUCCGCCACAGCAGAGGAGCGCGGCUACGCCACCGAUGGCACCGCAAACGCGUACGCGCAGAAACACACUGACCCGAAGCUCUACGGCCGCCCUCAUCGGGCACUCCUCGCGUCGACGCAGCUGCCGUCCAACGUGGACGGGGAAGGGGGGUGCACGCACAGGUGGGCAAUCCUUCCGAGGAGCAUCCCCGACAGCCCCUUCCGCUCCGGUCACUCUCGCGUGUUGGUCGAGUUUCGGAUGCGGUGCGAAACGCCGGAGAAAACAAAGCCAUCCCCCUCCCACCCCAACGGCCCCUGGUGAUGAGGAUGUGCACGAUGGAAUGGGAUGGGAUGACGGGUGUAAGGGAGGAGGAGGAGGAGGAGGAGGAGGGGAGGGGUUAUCGAAUCCGUAGUCGGGCUGCAUGGCGAGAGGAGGCGCGGGGUUGUUCAAGUCGCUGGCGCGUGACCCACACGCGAACACACAGGCACGCAUGUGCCUAUGCGCGCUCUGGCUAUGCUUCCCUGUGUGUGUGUGUGUAUUCCUCUGGGCAACUUGUCUAACCGGUGGACGGAAGGGUGCGGGCCGGCAGCGCUGCGUCCGGCGCGAGGUAAUGGUUGACUGAUGUGGGUGGUGCUGUGUAGUCUCACCCACAGACUUAUGUGGCGUGCGGCAGUGUUGGUGUCUGUGUUGUUACUCACAGGCUUUCGCUGACGGCUGAACAGAGGCGCGCACACCGACAGACCCGGCGCGGAAGGCAGUGUACGGAUUGUGGCCCACUAGAGGAGCGGGGGAAAAAAACGAGGAGGGGCGUUGUGAGGUGGUAAAAGGAACGGCACAGACUAGGCGAGAUGCGGGCAGUGGUGGAUUCGACGCUACAGACGGAGUUAACGGUUGGCUCAUCGGAUGAUACGUGCGUCAGGUAUUUGGGUGUGUGUGCGUGUGCGUGUGUGCUGGAGCCCUCACGAGCUGCCGCCCUCCCCCCUCCUACAUCUCUCUCUAUUCCUCUUCCUGCUCUCUGCCACGCACUGCUCACACAUGCAGUGGCUUCCCCGCUUGGACGUCCUCCUUGUCCCUCUUCUUGAUCUCCCUCUCUUCUCCUCUCCUCUCACCCUUAG